GUUUUGUUUAUGAUAGCCAUGGAGCAGGAAAAACUGACAUGCUACUAAAGCUAAGAUGGUUAUGAGAAGAUAUGCUGCUGGAAAGAUGCUCUUAGAAAACUGGAAGGGUCGCAACCAAAUCCAAUCGACAACAUGGCAGUGGUCUCUGAAUAUCUAAGCUAGUGAUCAUCUUUUCAGUGAUUCCUUUUCUGUUUGGCCUUCUCAUAGGUAGUUUACAUUAGUUGUCUGUUGGAGUUGUGAUGGCAGUAUAUAUUUUUUGUUGC